rnacentral:rRNA from 1 species
UACAGAGGUCCCGAGCGUUGUUCGGAUUCACUGGGCGUAAAGGGCACGUAGGCGGCUCGGCAAAUCGGUCGUGGAAUCUCGACGCUUACCGUCGAAACGGCGGCCGAAAAUACCGGGCUCGAGGGCGUGAGGGGUCACUGGAACUCCUGGUGAAGCGGUGAAAUGCGUAGAUAUCAGGAGGAACGCCGGAGGCGAAAGCGAGUGACUGGCGCGUUCCUGACGCUGAGGUGCGAAAGCUAGGGGAGCAAACAGG